GAGAGCGGCGUACGGGUGCGGAACACGUGUGCACUAGCUUAUCUGGGGGAUAGCCUUCGAAAGGAGAUUAUACCCCCAUAUAUGUUGGAUGGCUCAUUCGACAUUGAAACUCCGGUGGAUAGAGAUGGGCCGCCGCAGAUAGAUAGUGGUGAGUACGGUCACCAGUCUACGAUCUUUAGGGCUGAAAGGGUGAUCCCCCAACACUGGUACUGAAACGGACCAACUCCUACGGGAGGCAGCAGUGAGGAAUAUUGGACCAUGGGUGAGAGCCUGAUUCAGCAUCCCGCGUGGAAGGACGACUGGCCUAUGGGUUGUAAACUUCUUUUGUAUAGGGAUAAACCUAACCUUCGGUGAGGGUAGCUGAAGGUACUAAUAACGAAUAAACACCGGUAACUCCGUGCCAGCAGCGGGUAAUACGGAGGGUGCAGCGUUAUCCGGGAUUUAUUGGGGUUAAACGGGUCCGAAGCGGAUCUGAAGGUCCAGGUGGGUGAAAAAUCUUCACCAGUUUAACUUGUGAAAACUUGCCAUUGGNAUAACUGGGAGGGUCUUGAAGUACCGUUGAAGGUGGGGCCGGAAUUGGUGUCCACGUUAAGCGGUGAA
rnacentral:rRNA from 1 species